AUGCAUGCAUAAUAUGUACUUAUACUUUUUAGAAGGUCAAUAUUUUAAGAGGUCAACAUGCUGAAAUAAAGAUAAUUGAGGGGAUAUUAAAUUUGAAGCAAAGUGGUUCUAAACAAUCUUCAUGGACCUGUGUUAUUAAAUGUAAAUUCAAAUACACACGUGAAACACCAGAACUGACAGCACAAAGCCAUAGAUUAGUGCUCAAGCUCUUCCUGGCCCUAGAGACCCUUGUAUCAGAAAUAAGUGGAGAUCAGGCUCCAUUCGGUGACAAGUCCUCCUAAGCCACUGUAGUCCUUGAGUAUUAGGAUGAUAACUCCAGUUAUCACUGGGGUCCAUUCUAAUACAAUUACCUGAAAGGUUUCUUUUGGGUCACUGUCCCUUAAAAUCACUUGAAAGGAGCUGAAACUGAAACUCCCUGUAGGGAAAGAGCAAAUUAGCCAGGGUGGCGCUGGGCAGGCUCUCUCACCCCACGUUUUGCAAAUAUAUCCUUAUGUAACAGCUGAGAUGACACAGCACUGUGCAUGCGUGUCGUGAUGUACCCGCUUGGCCAUGAGCCUCUUUUGUUCUGUAAACUGAACAUAAGCCCCACCUGAGAAACCCCUUUUGCCGCUCCACCGCCAUUAGACAAUAAAUAUAUCUGGUGUUCUGAGGGCUCCUGGAGUUUUCUCCCAGCUUCCCCAUUCACGCCUUGCCCACCCUGGGUUCAGCAAGCCAGUGUGAGAAGCGAGACAAUUGGUGUCGUCGGCAGGACACCCAGCAGGCCAAUAUGGAUCGUGCUCUCCAUCAUGCUGCACAAGUGCACGAGUUUCAGAGACAAAGGAAGAGCUAGAGCAGCGUCUGCACACGCUGAAGCAAGAGAUGCCUGGCCUUGAGGAACCCAGCGCCUGGAACUAUGAGACAUAGAAUCCAACCCUGUAUGUCCACCCACCCCCGCUUCAUGGACCCUGGAUGAAGAGAAGAGAACAGGCACAUGUACAUCUCAACUUCUCCCACGUAUGAGCCGAAAGACCUUGAAUAAGUAAGGCACUCUCUACUUCCUUAUCCACAAAAUGGUGUAACUGUAGCAU
rnacentral:lncRNA from 1 species